UACAGAGGUCUCAAGCGUUGUUCGGAUUCAUUGGGCGUAAAGGGUGCGUAGGCGGCGCGGUAAGUCGGGCGUGAAAUCUCGGGGCUCAACCCCGAAACUGCACUUGAUACUGCCUUGCUAGAGUACUGGAGAGGAGACUGGAAUUUACGGUGUAGCAGUGAAAUGCGUAGAUAUCGUAAGGAAGACCAGUGGCGAAGGCGAGUCUCUGGACAGUUACUGACGCUGAGGCACGAAGGCCAGGGGAGCAAACGGG
rnacentral:rRNA from 1 species